rnacentral:tRNA from 1 species
GGGGCGGUAGCUCAGUUGGUUAGAGCAGAGGACUCAUAAUCCUUGGGUCGUGGGUUCGAGUCCCACCCGCCCUACCA